GGAGGGAUCGCAUAGUGGUCUAGUGCGCAGUCCUGGAAAGACUGUAUAGAAGUAAUUCUAUCGGGGGUUCAAAUCCCCCUCCCUCCGCCA
rnacentral:tRNA from 1 species